UACGGGGGGUGCAAGUGUUCUUCGGAAUUACUGGGCGUAAAGGGCGCGUAGGCGGUGAAUCGGGUUGAAAGUGAAAGUCGCCAAAAAGUGGCGGAAUGCUCUCGAAACCCAUUCACUUGAGUGAGACAGAGGAGAGUGGAAUUUCGUGUGUAGGGGUGAAAUCCGUAAAUAUACGAAGGAACGCCAAAAGCGAAGGCAGCUCUCUGGGUCACUACCGACGCUGGGGUGCGAAAGCAUGGGGAGCGAACAGG
rnacentral:rRNA from 1 species